rnacentral:rRNA from 1 species
UACGGGGGGGGGCAAGCGUUGUUCGGAAUUACUGGGCGUAAAGGGCUCGUAGGCGGCCAACUAAGUCGGAUGUGAAAUCCCCAGGCUCAACCUGGGAACUGCGAUCCGAUACUGGAUGGCUUGAAUUCGGGAGAGGGAUGCGAGAAUUCCAGGUGUAGCGGUGGAAAUGACGUAGAUAUCUGGAGGAAUACCGGUGGCGAAGGCGGCAUCCUGGACCGACAUUGACGCUGAGGAGCGAAAGCCAGGGGAGCAAACGGG